GCGGCCGCCGCGGCCACCGCUUCUUUCACACUUUAGUUGCGAGCCGCGCGCCGCGCUUAGUGACUGGAGAGCUGGCCGCGCGCCGCCUUCCCGCACGCACGCACGCGGGCCCAGCUCCGGGGUUUUCUGCUUUUACUCCAGGCGGCGGGGAGGAGGGGGAGCCCCGGCCACACUGUAGGGAGGAGGAGGAGGAGGACGUGGAGGAGGGAGGAAGAGAAGAGGCGAGGAGGCCAGGGGCGGGGGGCGGGGGGCUUGNCANCUUCAGCCCCGGGCGCGAGCGCCCAAGGUGCACACCCUGUUGCCAGCACCACCACAAGGUGGAUUUCCUCUGUGCUUGAAGAGAGAGAAAACAAUGUCCCCGCGCCUGUAGAGAUGAUUUGCAGUUCAGCCCAGCUGAAGCUGACUGAAUGAGCUAUGGGCUGUGCCUCUGCCAAGCAUGUUGCUACUGUUCAAAACGAGGAGGAAGCACAGAAAGGGAAGAGCUACCAGAACGGGGAUGUGUUUGGCGAUGAGUAUAGGAUCAAACCCGUGGAAGAGGUCAAAUACAUGAAAAACGGGGCA
rnacentral:lncRNA from 1 species